GUACAGCGUAAUAAUUUUUGAUAGAACCUAUAGACNAAAUAGUUUGCGACCUCGAUGUUGGAUUAGGAUACUUUUUUAAUGAAGAUGUUAAAAAAAGAAGUUUGUUCAACUUUUAAAGUCCUACAUGAUCUGAGUUUAGACCGAUGAGAAUCAGGUUGGUUUCUAUCUUAAUUAAAAUAAAUUUUUGGCUAGUACGAAAGGAAUUCCAAAAUUUAAUUACAUUAAUGAAAACAACUUUAUUUGCAUCAUUUUUUGGAAUU
rnacentral:rRNA from 1 species